rnacentral:rRNA from 1 species
GACGAACCGUGCGAACGUUGUUCGGAAUCACUGGGCUUAAAGGGCGCGUAGGCGGGCGGUCAAGUCAGGGGUGAAAGCCCACGGCCCAACCGUGGAAGUGCCUUUGAUACUGCCAGUCUCGAGGGAGGUAGGGGCGUGCGGAACUUCCGGUGGAGCGGUGAAAUGCGUAGAUAUCGGAAGGAACACCGGUGGCGAAAGCGGCGCGCUGGACCUCUUCUGACGCUGAGGCGCGAAAGCCAGGGGAGCGAACGGG